UUAAAUUGAAGAGUUUGAUCAUGGCUCAGAUUGAACGCUGGCGGCAGGCUUAACACAUGCAAGUCGAACGGUAACAUGAGUGCUUGCACUUGAUGACGAGUGGCGGACGGGUGAGUAAGGUAUGGGGAUCUGCCAAAUGGAGGGGGACAACAGUUGGAAACGACUGCUAAUACCGCAUAAAGUUGAGAGACCAAAGUACGGUUCCGCAAGGACGUGCGCCAUUUGAUGAACCCAUAUGGGAUUAGCUAGUUGGUG
rnacentral:rRNA from 1 species